AUUGAACGCUGGCGGCAGGCCUAACACAUGCAAGUCGAGCGGAUGAAGGGAGCUUGCUCCUGGAUUCAGCGGCGGACGGGUGAGUAAUGCCUAGGAAUCUGCCUGGUAGUGGGGGAUAACGUCCGGAAACGGGCGCUAAUACCGCAUACGUCCUGAGGGAGAAAGUGGGGGAUCUUCGGACCUCACGCUAUCAGAUGAGCCUAGGUCGGAUUAGCUAGUUGGUGGGGUAAAGGCCUACCAAGGCGACGAUCCGUAACUGGUCUGAGAGGAUGAUCAGUCACACGGAACCUAGGCCCCGUUCCGGCCUCCUACGGAGGGCGCCGUGGGGAAUUUUUGGACAAUGGGCGAAAGCCUAUUCCGGCAUGCCGCGUGUGUGAAGAAGGUCUUCGGAUUGUAAAGCACUUUAAGUUGGGAGGAAGGGCAGUAAGUUAAUACCUUGCUGUUUUGACGUUACCAACAGAAUAAGCACCGGCUAACUUCGUG
rnacentral:rRNA from 1 species